UCUCACUGUUUUACUAGCACUAUUUUCAAGACGAAACUGAAUAAAAAACACAUAACCGAUUUAAAAGCAUCAUGUUAGAGCAGCAAAACAAUAAGUUUGCCUAUCGAAAGCAUUUGGACUCCAUCAGGGGUUUGGCAUGUCUUAUAGUAAUUCUAUUCCAUUGCAAAUUCCCAAUGUUUAACAAUGGAUACAUUGGUGUUGAUGUUUUCUUCGUUUUGUCUGGUUUUCUGAUUUGCUCUAUCUUACUCACACGAAUAACUGCAAGCAACAAAAAUGGAAUUGCGUCUAUUUUCCUCAACUUUUACUACCGGCGUUUCUUAAGACUCUUUCCUGCAUCCGCCUGCGUUCUUCAAGUUACUGCUUUGAUGUAUCGCUUCAACGAAUUACCAUUUUACGUCCGCAAACACAGGUCUUCAUUUAUCGCAUCCGCAUUUUAUUACCAGAACUGGCACGAGAUGAAAGUAGAAUCUAAUUACUUCUUUGACAAGGGAUCUGACCAAUCUCCAGUUGUACAUUUCUGGUCACUUUCAAUUGAAGAACAGUUCUAUCUCAUUUUCCCAUCAUUCUUACUGGUACUAUCAGUUAUUUUC